rnacentral:rRNA from 1 species
AGUGAACGCUGGCGGUAGGCCUAACACAUGCAAGUCGAACGGCAGCACAGUAAGAGCUUGCUCUUACGGGUGGCGAGUGGCGGACGGGUGAGGAAUACAUCGGAAUCUACUUUUUCGUGGGGGAUAACGUAGGGAAACUUACGCUAAUACCGCAUACGACCUACGGGUGAAAUCAGGGGAUCUUCGGACCUUGCGCGAUUGAAUGAGCCGAUGUCGGAUUAGCUAGUUGGCGGGGUAAAGGCCCACCAAGGCGACGAUCCGUAGCUGGUCUGAGAGGAUGAUCAGCCACACUGGAACUGAGACACGGUCCAGACUCCUACGGGAGGCAGCAGUGGGGAAUAUUGGGCAAUGGGCGCAAGCCUGAUCCAGCCAUACCGCGUGGGUGAAGAAGGCCUUCGGGUUGUAAAGCCCUGUUGUUGGGAAAGAAAAGCAGCAGGUUAAUACCCCGCUGUUCUGACGGUACCCAAAGAAUAAGCACCGGCUAACUUCGUG